GUGCUCAAUCUGUAGCACAUACACUAAAUUUGGAAAGAUUAUAGAGAAAAUUAUCAUGUCCAUGGCCCUUGUGUGAGAAGGACACACAUAUCUGUGAUUUCUCACUUUU
ensembl:snRNA U6 U6 spliceosomal RNA